rnacentral:lncRNA from 1 species
AUGUUUCCCAAAUGCAGGUGCUGUAAUCUAUUUGAAUUAGCACUGUCAGCUCAAACAACCCCAAAGGAUAUGCUUUCUGCGGUGACCCAGAUAAGUUUGAGGGGGCUGUGGAAAGGCUCACGGUGCACCUCUGUGAGUGUUGCUGGAGUGGCGAUGGGCAGAUGGCACCUUCCUUCUCCUCAGCCUCCUUCACCCAGCGGCAUGUGGGGUUUCAGCAGGAGGGAGCAGCAGGUUGCAGGGCUGGUGAGAUUUUUCUGA